rnacentral:lncRNA from 1 species
CGCAUUAAGGCCUAUGACUGUGCCAUUGGGCACUUGAGUCCCUAGUGACUUCCCUGAGCUGCAGUGUGCGCUCACGUCCUCAGUACUUAAAAACAUGUCUUCUUGUCUACUGAGGCUAAGUUGCUUCAUGAAGCACGUGAGUGAAAAGGAAGUGGUUUUGUAGGUCCAGACCUGUCUAGGAUCUCAACACAGCCUUCAGUGAGGUGUGUGUGGGCUGCUGAGCCCAGUGACUUCCCCAAAUCCAGCUAGGGGAGCACUCCCAGGGACCUGCUUGUCCGUGACCCCAGCACACCUACAGCCCAGCAGGAUGCUGUGUCCUCUGCAGCUAGUCUCCUGGCUCUGUAGUCAGAAUCCUACCUCACCUAGUUCCUAUAACUGUUUAAUUUGGGUAGGUGCUCAGAGCAGAGCACAAAUGGACUGGGUUCCAGCAAUGCCCACUGAGGCGAACUGGCUGCAUCAGGCAGCUCCAAGUGCCUGCCUGUCAUCAACCACUUCCAACAGGGCAAAUAAAAAUCAAACUAAAUGGCGAAUUGAGUUCUAGAGUGAAGAUGGUAAGCAAAGUUUAAUUAAAUCAUAGAAAGGGCAUGUUAUAGUUCUGGAAUUGUGACCUUAAGAAGAGCAAGAUCUUCAAGUUCAAAGUAAAGAAUCACUGAUUUUCUCAUUUAAAAAGAAUCGUGCAAACUAUAGAGUUGGUUCUUAAUAAGCUACUGCCAACAACUCAGAGAGUCACAGUCCUAUUUGUUCCAUGUGGAUCUGGACAG